rnacentral:misc_RNA from 1 species
AACUAUGCAAGUUACGGUGUUGUUUACAUCGCCAGGUAGCGACAGGCAGCGGACACCGAACACAACCUCGUCAAAUAAUAUGACGCAUCACGAAUAGUUUAAAGGUUUGCAAAUACUUAGAUACACACAAACACGUUCACUACGCACAAUGGAAGCCAGUGCCAGUUUUUGAAUCUACAACCAAUCCGGAGGCAAAUCAACAUGACCAUCAACAGCUUCUCUCCGAUAGAGGAAACACAGAGCUGGGCAGGGUUUGAAUCCAAUCGGAUGGUGGGCACCUCCUGUGCCAGAUGGAUAAAAAACCUAUUGCUGAUAGCUUUUGUGGUUGUCUUGGUGUGCGGCAUCGCCAUCCUGGGUAUCGGUAUCUGGACUCAUGAGUCCGAGUACGGAAGCAAACAACUCUCCAGCCUCAUCGACAUCCCCUUGUACGAGGUGGACUCAUUCCUGCUGAUUGGCUGUGGAGGAGCCAUCAUUGUCAUCACUCUUCUUGGAGUAUGCGGGGUGCUAACUCAGUACAAAUGCAUUAUGGGAUUGCAUCUGUGGUUGUUGGCCUUUCUGUCCGUCAGUCUGUUUGUGGCAGGAAUUCUGGGAUAUGUCCUAAUUAGCGAGCUUGAGAACAAGGUGAAGGGCAAGCUGGAGGAUUCGGUGACGAUGAACUAUGGCGUUGACAUCCCCUCCAACUCCAAGAAUCUGGAGAUCACAGAGUCGUGGGACAGAAUACAGCAGACGUUCAAGUGUUGUGGUGCGUCCGGCACAGUGAACAGCUCAACCUCCUGGGCCAUCUACCAACAACAGAGUGACUGGUUCAAGAAGGGUUUCUCCAAAGGACUUUAUGUGCCCUUGAGUUGCUGUGACAAAAGUUUGCACAAGCACCUCAACGAAUGCACUGGGUUAGCGGACACACCAGAUGCCCCUCCCCGCCACGGCCCCCCGGUUCUCAUCAACAUGGCAGACCUCAACUACACGCUGUACACAACGGGCUGUUUUGACUUGCUAGAUGGUUACCUCAGGGGAACCGGUAUCGUCAUUGGAACAACGCCAUAGUUGUCGGGGUCUUUCUGCUGGUGGAACUGGUGUUGUCUGUGUGUAUGUAUCGUAUGCUCAAGUAGCAGCAGCAGCAGCAGCAACAACAGCGACAACAAUUAUUGCUGCAUCCAUAUUUUUAUGCAACAGAAUCUCUUCAGACUCACAACCUGAACAAACUCAUUUCCCAUGCUGAUAUUAGUUCCAGAGGAAGAAUCUUUUUAAAAUGUUAAAAUCAUCCUUCCAGGUAACCAUAUAUAACCAAUAUCUGUUUACAAAAUCUGGGAUAUUUUUACAAAUCAAACAUAUUUAUAUAUACAUAUUUUGGUCCUUAUACAUAGUACUGUUUAAAGGCCAAGCCUUUCUCCCCAGCGAUCUCAGCUACACAUUAAUCAUAAACCCUUGUUAAAGUACAACGUAUGAUCACCUUAGCGCUAAGACCUCGUUGUGGCAUGUCGCCCAAAAUAUUUCCUCCGUUUACAGUCUCACGUAUCUGUCUGUUACCAUAGUUACUCGAUAAGAAAUACUAAUCAUGAUGAUCGACAUAAUCUGCUGCGAUACAACAAAUGGAUUUUAUGAAAUGACUUUGAAAGUAUUGCUGACAAAUGUUUACACAAUUUUAAAUGUUUUCUCUCUUGCUCAAUAAUGAGUUCUCCAUAUCAGAUUUUCAUAAAUGUAUUGUUGUCUAUUUAUGUAUUUCAGAGUAGAUAGUGCACAGAAUUUAACCAAGAUUGGACAAUAUGUAGAUCAUGUUUUUACAUGACAUAUGCGGAAAGUCAUUAUUUUGUAUCCAUAAUGCGUUCAUUUUGGUGUGUCACUGGGUUGUGGGUUCGUAGUAUUAUAUUGAAUAUUUCGGUCUUAACAAAUCUUCACAUGACAAAGCAAACUGUGAUAUGUGUAGUGUUUGUCAGAAUGAUUUAUUUUAUUGUUUAUAUUUGUUAUUUAUGUUUCUUGUUGUAUUUUCUGUUUGACCUAUGAUAGUCAUUGUGUCAACUAUCUAUAUUUUGACAAUCUUUCAGUCAAUGUCUAACUUUAUGUUUAAAGUUUUGAGAAAGCUCCGUCCAUCUGCUUUGUUCUGACUUGUGCAGACCUUUGUUGACCAGCAUGGACCAUUACUGACUAACAUUGACCAAUAUUGACCACUGUCAAAAGCAGAUCCAAGAUUUUGGAAAAAACUCAAGUCGUAAGAAAUCUGAUGAAAGAAGAAUGGCGUGCUCUUGAACAACCUCUGUGGAUCAGCAAGUGUGUUGACAAGUGCUCAGCCAGUAUUAACCGGUAAAGACUGGUAUAGAUUGGCACUGACCAGCUUCGACCAACACUGACCAGCACUAACCAGUGCCGACCAGUGUUGAUCAGUGAUGCUCAGUAUUUACCUGCACUGACUGGCUUUGACCAUUAUUGACCAGUGUUUAACAGUACUGUCCAGCAUUAAACACCAUUGUCCAGUGUUGACCAGUGCUGAUCUGUGAAGGUCAUAAGCAUUAAAUGUGAAUGUCCUCAUGCAUGUUGAGUGUGAAGGCAGAGUCGUAUCAUAAUCAUAAUAAUCAUCGUCAUCAUUGUUGUCAUGUAUUCAUGUUGAAAUAGUUGUGUCUAGCCCCCAUGCCAGUCAAUGAGCAUAUUGUUGUCAGUAAAUAGCCAUGUCAUGUCAGAGGUCAUGCUGUUGUCAGCCAGUGUCCUCACUGAUGGCAGUAAGCACAGAUGUCUACUAAAAUUUGAGGUCCCAUUGUUCUGCUUUGGGAAAUGUGAUGUCAUUUGUGCAGCAUUAAAAAAAGUGAGGUCACAUUGUGCAGCAUUAACAGAGGCCACAUUGUGCAGAAUUAGCAAUGUGAAGUCACAUUGUGAAGGAUUAGGAAAGGUGAAGUCACUUAAUUCUGCAUCAGAAAAUGUGAAAUCACAUUGUGUAGCAUCAGGAAAUGUGAGGUCACAUGAUGCUGCAUCAGGAAAUGUGAGGUCACAUGAUGCUGCAUCAGGA